rnacentral:rRNA from 1 species
UACAGAGGUCUCGAGCGUUGUUCGGAUUCAUUGGGCGUAAAGGGUGCGUAGGUGGCGCUGUAAGUCGGGUGUGAAAUCCUGGGCUUAACCCGGAACUGCAUUCGAUACUGCAGUGCUUGAGGACUGGAGAGGAGACUGGAAUUCAUGGUGUAGCAGUGAAAUGCGUAGAGAUCGUGAGGAAGACCCGUGGCGAAGGCGGAUCUCUGGACGGCUAACUGACGCUGAGACGCGAAAGCGUGGGAGCGAACAGG